rnacentral:rRNA from 1 species
AACGAACGCUGGCGGCAUGCCUAACACAUGCAAGUCGAACGAUACCUUCGGGCAUAGUGGCGCACGUGUGCGUAACGAGUGGGAAUCUGCCCUUGGCUUCGCAAUCCCAGAUACAAAUGACUGCUAAUACCGGUUGAUGUCCUCCUGAAAAUUCUUGGUGACCAAAGGUUUUUCGGCCAGGGAUUAGCCCGCGUAGGAUUAGGUCGGUGGUGGUGUAAAGGCCUACCAAGCCGACGCUCCUUAGCUGGUCUGCGAGGAUGAUCAGCCACACUGGGACUGAGACACGGCCCAGUCUCCUACGGGAGGCAGCAGUAUGUAAUAUUAGACAAGGAGGGGAACCCUGAUCCAGCAAUGCCGGGUGAGUGAUGAAGGCCUUAGGGUUGUAAAUCUCUUUUAUCAGGGAUGAUAAUGACAGUACCUGGAGAAGAAGCUCCGGCUAACUCCGUG